ACAUGCAAGUCGAGCGGACAGAAGGGAGCUUGCUCCCGGAUGUUAGCGGCGGACGGGUGAGUAACACGUGGGUAACCUGCCUGUAAGACUGGGAUAACUCCGGGAAACCGGAGCUAAUACCGGAUAGUUCCUUGAACCGCAUGGUUCAAGGAUGAAAGACGGUUUCGGCUGUCACUUACAGAUGGACCCGCGGCGCAUUAGCUAGUUGGUGAGGUAACGGCUCACCAAGGCGACGAUGCGUAGCCGACCUGAGAGGGUGAUCGGCCACACUGGGACUGAGACACGGCCCAGACUCCUACGGGAGGCAGCAGUAGGGAAUCUUCCGCAAUGGACGAAAGUCUGACGGAGCAACGCCGCGUGAGUGAUGAAGGUUUUCGGAUCGUAAAGCUCUGUUGUUAGGGAAGAACAAGUGCAAGAGUAACUGCUUGCACCUUGACGGUACCUAACCAGAAAGCCACGGCUAACUACGUGCCAGCAGCCGCGGUAAUACGUAGGUGGCAAGCGUUGUCCGGAAUUAUUGGGCGUAAAGGGCUCGCAGGCGGUUUCUUAAGUCUGAUGUGAAAGCCCCCGGCUCAACCGGGGAGGGUCAUUGGAAACUGGGAAACUUGAGUGCAGAAGAGGAGAGUGGAAUUCCACGUGUAGCGGUGAAAUGCGUAGAGAUGUGGAGGAACACCAGUGGCGAAGGCGACUCUCUGGUCUGUAACUGACGCUGAGGAGCGAAAGCGUGGGGAGCGAACAGGAUUAGAUACCCUGGUAGUCCACGCCGUAAACGAUGAGUGCUAAGUGUUAGGGGGUUUCCGCCCCUUAGUGCUGCAGCUAACGCAUUAAGCACUCCGCCUGGGGAGUACGGUCGCAAGACUGAAACUCAAAGGAAUUGACGGGGGCCCGCACAAGCGGUGGAGCAUGGUGGUUUAAUUCGAAGCAACGCGAAGAACCUUACCAGGUCUUGACAUCCUCUGACAACCCUAGAAGAUAGGGCUUUCCCUUCGGGGACAGAGUGACAGGU
rnacentral:rRNA from 1 species